rnacentral:tRNA from 1 species
GGUUGAAUGGCCGAGAUUUAAGGCGAUAACCUGUAAAUUUAUUAACGAGUUUUCUCUUCAACCA